ACAGAGGUCCCAAGCGUUGUUCGGAUUCACUGGGCGUAAAGGGUGCGUAGGCGGUCGGGUAAGUCUGACGUGAAAUCCUGGAGCUUAACUCCGGAACUGCGUCGGAAACUAUUCGGCUAGAGGAUUGGAAGGGGGACUGGAAUUCUCGGUGUAGCAGUGAAAUGCGUAGAUAUCGAGAGGAACACCCGUGGCGAAGGCGAGUCCCUGGACAAUUCCUGACGCUGAGGCACGAAAGCUAGGGGAGCAAACAG
rnacentral:rRNA from 1 species